ACUAAUUAAUUUAAAACAAGGGUGAAUUAAAUUUUUAUGCUCAGACGAAUGCGAAAUUAGGAAUGUAUGAAUGAUGAUUUCAUAUUUAGUUCUCUUUCCUCCCGACAAUAAAUUCUGACAUAUUUGCUCCUAUUGAGCAGAGAUAUUGUUGGAUACGUAAUGAUUGUGCAGCAUUUAAUUCUAACACAAGUAUGAAGAUAAUUAGGUUAGUCGAUAAUAUGUUAUUUGAUAUGGUAUCAUAGGUUAUAUUAGAAGAUACUUGAUAGAAGAUAAGAAUAAAUAAGACUAUGCCCAAUAGUAGAAGACUGUUGGAGCUGGAUUCCUGGAAUCCACCUGCGAAAAUACCAAGCCAGCCCACAAAAGCCCACCAAGCCCACCAAGUAGAGGACCUACGCAGCUGACGAGCCCACAUACGCGAAUGGGUAUUUGGACCAGAUAAGCCCAGUCACCUGAUGCAGGGAGAUAAGCGAAUAAUGACCUAGGAACUGAAGAGGAGAUAUUCGCGGAGCGGACCUGAUAUCUCGGAACUGACCUGCCGAAUAUCCAGGAGGAUCUCCGCAGAUCCCGGACGGAGCUACCACGUGCGUAGAUCUAUAUAAGGGAGCAAGGACGACUUGUAAGACACAUUCAAUCUAGUUCACAUUGGCACACACACACUUUACACUUGUAAUCUCAUUUCACAUUGUAAAAGCUCUGUCAUAAUUAAAGUCCAUUCGUUCUUAGCAAUAUAACUCUCAAGGUUUCAGUGAAGAUCUAGCACUCCUUUCUCAUAAUCUUAAAUACAAAUCUCUAGUGUGGAUUUCAGAACCCACAUUUGGCGCCGUCUGUGGGGACAGAAAUAGAUCAUUCCAACACCGAAGCUAACACAUCAAUUGUGACCAACGAUCAUGGAUCCCAAUUCAUCCAAUUCAUCGGGAUCUGGCUUACCAGUUCAGAUCCCAAACGAUGACGUUACGGACGGGCACCUCCCAACGGAUCUCCCUCCUGG
rnacentral:sRNA from 1 species